CCUACGGGUGGCAGCAGUGAGGAAUAUUGGUCAAUGGACGCAAGUCUGAACCAGCCAAGUCGCGUGCAGGAUGACGGCCCUCCGGGUUGUAAACUGCUUUUAGUUGGGAAUAAAAGGGGGCUCGUGAGCCCCGUAUCGUAUGUACCAUCAGAAAACGGACCGGCUAAUUCCGUGCCAGCAGCCGCGGUAAUACGGAAGGUCCGGGCGUUAUCCGGAUUUAUUGGGUUUAGAGGGAGCGUAGGCUGGCGUUUAAGUUAGCUGUGAAAGUCCGCGGCACAACCGUGGAAUUGCAGUUGAUACUGGAAGCCUAGAGUGCACACAGGGAAGGCGGAAUUCAUGGUGUAGCGGUGAAAUGCUUAGAUAUCAUGAAGAACUCCGAUCGCGAAGGCAGGUGUCCGGGGUGCAACUGACGCUGAGGCACGAAAGUGCGGGUAGCAAACAGGAUUAGAUACCCGUGUAGUC
rnacentral:rRNA from 1 species